rnacentral:rRNA from 1 species
UACGGGGGGUGCAAGCGUUGCUCGGAAUCACUGGGCGUAAAGCGUCCGCAGGCGGCUUGGUAAGUCGGGUGUGAAAUCCCGGGGCUCAACCCCGGAACUGCAUUCGAAACUGCCUGGCUUGAGUACGGGAGAGGGUCGUGGAAUUCCUGGUGUAGAGGUGAAAUUCGUAGAUAUCAGGAGGAACACCGGUGGCGAAAGCGGCGACCUGGCCCGAUACUGACGCUCAUGGACGAAAGCGUGGGGAGCAAACAGG